rnacentral:lncRNA from 1 species
GGGCUGAGGCUGCAGCUCUGAGGGCCAAAGCAGGGCUUCGAUGGUGCAGCUCAGUGUGUUCAUAAAGAAGCUUCUUUGGAAAAGUAGGAUGUAUGUGUCUCUGCGCCCAAAGUAAGUGUAUAAUUGGAACCAAUGAUAUUUUUGUGUUUGAAAUGGCAUUCUGUGUUUGAACAAACUCCUCCAUUCGAAUCUUCAAGUAACUUAAAAAGCCUCACUUCUGAUACCCCACUUAAAAGGGUAAUUUUUUUUUCUUUUUUAACUUUCCUUUGUAUGGAUACUUGAAAAUGCUCCUGCAGAAAAUGCUAAUUUAUUUUCAGUAUGUAUAUUUUUACAGCAUGAGUUCCUUAGUGAGUUAUGCAGGCCUUUGAAACAAAAGCAACUAUAAAAAGACAUCUGAAUGAAACAAUUUGCAUAGCAAUAGCAGCCCAGUUUUGCUAUAUAUGCUAAAACAAACAGAAACCUUCAGCCAUUAGUGACUGAUUAGCAAUGCUACAGACCUCAUCAAACAUCCCAUUUGCUAUGGACACCUUGAAAAAGGCUUAUGCAGUGUAUGUUUUGCCACAAGAUAAGUAAAUGACAUGGACUGUGGAAUCUUUUGGAACCAUAGUGCUGUUGGGUUAGUCGUGUUGCUUGCAGUAUGGUUAGGCAGGCGUGAGCCAGCUAGCAUCAAAGCAGCAGAUAAACCUGUCAUUUAAGAACAGACACUAGCGAAGUGUGAGCUGCAACCAUAUGUGAAACAAACAUCUUUACGGUGUCAGUCGUGACUCUCUGUUCGCUCUUGUCAAGCUGAGUACUGUGGUGCAUCGUGUGCUCUGGAGGAGGCACAUGGAGAGGUCCUGGCUGGGGUAAGCGGUUAGAACAAGGCACUGAAAGUUGACAGUGCUGAAAUUUUGGGAGGUAAUGGAUUUCUGAUAAAGUUGCAAGUAAAAGACCUUUUUGUUUCGGCUAGUACUUAGCCUCGGUCAUAAGGAGUCUGCUUGCAUCUUUGUGUGCCUAAAUUUGUAUUACAGUAUGUCUUACUGAGUUUUUAGAAUGGCAUUGCCUAACAUGCUGCUAAACAUUGGAAUACAUUUAGCUACACAUCUUUUGCAUCUUUUGUGAUACUGGUGCAUCUCUGGUAUUAUUGUACCCUUUGCAGUUGUGCUACUAUUAAACCUGUUGGACAAAG